ACAUGCAAAUGUAUAUACAUAUGUACAUUAUGUGCCUCCAUACGUAAUGUAGAAAUUCAGAGACGUGUGUAUAAUGUGUGUGUAUUCUUUCUAGAUUAACCACAAUUACAUCACAGGUAAAAAAUUGACUAAUUUGCAUUUUAUUGAAUCAUUUUAUUCCAAGCGCCAUCGCGAAACACGUCAUAUCCGGCGCAGAGUAAAAUUGAACAGAAUCGUGAUUGGUCCACGAUUAUCACUGACAAGCUCUCAAGCCCAAGAUUUGUUUGAAAUACGGAUUAAAACGACAAUUAUAUAGAUAAACUAUAUAUUCAAAGAAAACAUCGAAGAACAAAACAUACAAUUAAUAUUAUCGAUGUCAAAAUAAGCAUAUAUUCGUAAAAUGAGUGUUGAAGUAUUUAAAAAAUCAGUGACAGCUGAUCAACAAAAGCACAUAAAUUUUGUAAAAAAUAAUAUGUCUAUUAUUGUGUCUUAUAUUAUGUCUGUAAAAGUUAUUGUAAUUAAACUUGAGUCAUCUACAUGAGUUUGCAUCAAAACUCCAUGAAUCCUAUGAGUCUUGAAUAGUAUUUUGCGAUAAAUAGAGAGACAUCAAAUUAUUAUAACAAAAGUAUUAAAAUAAUUUAUAAGUCGCUAAUAAAAUAGAUUCAUACAAUUUUUU